UUCACAAGUGGAGGAGACCAGCUCCUUCCGCAGAGCGUACCAGCCUCGGCGUGUGAUUUGGUUGUUUACGAGGUGUUCACGUUUUGAAAAUACCGCACUAACUUAAAAACAAAACCUGACUCUCUCCCCUGCCGCUGUGCCAAAGCGAGGCACUGAACCUGACAGCCGUCUUGGCUUCCUUCCCUUGCACUUGACUCUGAGGGAAACCUGCCCCUGGAAAUACUUGUCCGUAAUUUAUCUUUACGAAGGCCUUUGUCUGUCGGUGCUGUCGGAAGAGACCCGUUUCUGUCACUUGGGUUUUGUAGGUGCUUUUUCUGCCCCUCCGUCUCCAGGGUCCAAAAUGACUGCCCACUGAAAAAAUACAUUAGCGCCCCUUGGUAUUGAGCCAGACGAGCUGACAACUCGGGUCCACGCAAAAUCCUGCACCUGGACGCCCAUAGGACCUUUACUCCCCAUCGCCCAAACUUGGAAGCUACCAAGGUGUCCUUCGGGGGCCGAAUGGAUACACUGUUGUUGCACGGAACGGAAUUUUAUCAGAAAUAACAAGACGCGAGCUGCCGGGUCACAAAAAAGGCGUAGAGGCAACGGCCGUUGGCUGAAUUUCCUACCAUGCCCAGUGGGUGCAGUGAGAGGUUUCCACAUCUGCACUGAGAGGGUUUGGGCAGCAAACAGUUCCUGAGCCCAGUGUCUGUCAUUCACGCACCUGGAGAAGAAAAGGAAUAUUCUGAGCCUCUGCCACAAGGCGUUCACGUUCGAAACCAUUUGACCUUACCCUGGCAGCCUCUGGCUUGGAUGUAUCAUCUGCUGCCCAAACCCAGAGAGAAGAGAAAGUUGCAGGC